rnacentral:rRNA from 1 species
AGGACGAACGCUGGCGGCGUGCUUAACACAUGCAAGUGGAGCGACGAACCAGGGCUUGCCCUGGGGCAGAGCCGCGAACGGGUGAGUAACACGUGGGUUACCUGCCUCGAUGACCGGGACAACCCGAGGAAACUCGGGCUAAUACCGGAUGUGCCCGCAAGGGGAAAGGAAGCUUCGGCCUCCGCAUCGAGAUGGGCCCGCGGCCCAUUAGCUUGUUGGUGAGGUAACGGCUCACCAAGGCUUCGAUGGGUAGCUGGUCUGAGAGGACGAUCAGCCACACUGGGACUGAGACACGGCCCAGACUCCUACGGGAGGCAGCAGUGGGGAAUCUUGCGCAAUGCGCGAAAGCGUGACGCAGCAACGCCGCGUGGGGGAAGAAGGCUUUCGGGUUGUAAACCCCUUUCAGUUGGGACGAAGCUUCUCCGGUGAAUAGCCGGAUGGAGUAACGGUACCUUCACAAGAAGCACCGGCUAACUACGCGCCAGCAGCCGCGGU